ACGAGUCAACAUACUAAACAAAUACAAAAAUACACCAAAAUAAAAUAAAACAUUCACCUAACAUUAAAGUAUAGGAGAUAGAAAUUUUUAUCCUGACGCUAUAGAGAUAGUACCGUAAGGGAAAGAUGAAAGAAUAAAAUAAAAGUAAAAAAAAGCAAAGAUUACCCCUUCUACCUUUUGCAUAAUGGUUUAACC
rnacentral:rRNA from 1 species